CGCAAAGCCAAGCCAAGCCAAGCCGCACUCCUCGAGUCCACCACUCCGCCGCGCACCACUCCCCACCUCCCGACGAGAUGGCCACCCUCCGCCUCACCUCCGUCACCCUCCGCCCCGCCGCCUCCCCCUCGUCCGCCGCCGCGCCGCGGUCCGCCAACUUCGCCCGCGCCGCGGCGCGCGGGUUCCCCUCGCUCCGCCUCGCGCCGCCGCGCCGCCGCGGGGACCUCGCCAGGCGCAGGGCCGCCGCCGACGCCGCGGCGGAGGGGUACGCGACGGCGCUGUCCGAGGUGGCCUCGGAGAACGGCACGCUCGAGGCGACCGUGUCGGACCUGGAGAAGCUGGAGAAGAUCUUCGCGGAGGAGGCCAUCGCCGAGUUCUUCGACAACCCGACGGUGCCGCGCGACGAGAAGGCCCAGCUCAUCGACGAGAUCGCCAAGUCGUCGGAGCUCCAGGCGCACGUCGUCAACUUCCUCAACGUCGUGGUGGACAACGGCCGCGCGGGCCUCAUGACGCAGAUCGUGCGGGAGUUCGAGAACGCCUUCAACUCGCUCACCGGCACCGAGGUGGCCACCGUCACCUCCGUCGUGCAGCUCGAGUCGCAGGACCUCGCGCAGAUCGCGCAGCAGGUGCAGAAUCUCACCGGCGCGAAGAACGUCCGGGUCAAGACCCGCAUCGACCCGGAGCUCAUCGCCGGCUUCACCAUCCAGUACGGCCGCGACGGGUCCAGCCUCAUCGACAUGAGCGUCCGGAAGCAGAUCGAGGAGAUCACCUCCGAGUUCGAGAUGCCCGCAGUAACCCUCGACGUCUGAUCGGCAUCCACCACCCUCCCGGCGGCGCUGCCUUGGCCCUUAGGUCCUCUCCUCCUGUUGUCUCUUACUCUUGUGCAAGUGCAACAUACAUUGCUCUCAUGUGAUUGUUGAAUGUUUGCUCCAUUGUCACAGGGAAUCUCGAAGGCUUGUCAAGAAUGCUGGUCCUCAUCCCCUUCAGAACUGAAGAUAUAAUGGAGGAGGCUCAAAUACAUAUGACGAUCACGACAACAUUCUUUUCUGCAUUUCUUUUCAUUUUUUGGCCGGAGCCAAUGUAAUUCUCUUUUCUUUCGUUGCCCUUGUAAUUUGCUUCAAAUACUAAACUAUAGCGAGGCUGCUCCUCCAUUAUGUACCUGCCGAUAGAGUUUGCAGAUAUGUAUAGAAAGUGCCAUUGUUUUCAUCUGAUAAACGAGAUCAAUAUAUCAUGUGGUGUUCCGUUUUA